rnacentral:rRNA from 1 species
UUCUAUUAGCCACUAAUUAAUAGUAAAAUCUGCUCAAUGAAAAUUUAAAUAGCCGCAUAUGUGCUAAGGUAGCAUAAUCAUUUGUCUUUUAAUUAAAGACUAGAACAAAAGAUUUAACUUUUAAAUUAAUUUCUCAAAUUUAAUUAUUUAAAUUAUCCUAAAUGUAAAAAGACAUUUAUAUAAAAGAAAGACGAUAAGACCCUAUCGAACUUCAACUUUAGUUUAACUGGGGCAGUUAGUUAAUUAUAACUUUAAUUUAAAUAAAAUUUAAACUAGACCUAAUAAAAUUAACUUUAUAAUUAAGUUACCGUAGGGAUAACAGCGUAAUAAAAUUUUUAAGACCUUAUUUAAAGUAAAGAUGGUGACCUCGAUGUUGAUUAAUAACCUAGUCCACGCAAUAGAGCACUGAGGAAGUCUGUUCGACUUUUAAAAAAUUACA